UACGUAGGUGACCAGCGUUGUCCGGAUUUACUGGGCGUAAAGAGCGCGCAGGCGGUCGUUCAAGUCGAGUGUGAAAGCCCCCGGCUCAACUGGGGAGGGUCACUCGAUACUGAUCGACUUGAAGGCAGGAGAGGGAAGCGGAAUUCCCGGUGUAGUGGUGAAAUGCGUAGAUAUCGGGAGGAACACCAGUGGCGAAGGCGGCUUCCUGGCCCUGUUCUUGACGCUGAGGCACGAAGGC
rnacentral:rRNA from 1 species